AGCUCCAAUAGCGUAUAUUAAAGUUGUUGCAGUUAAAAAGCUCGUAGUUGGACUUGUGGUUUGGUGAGAUGGUCCGCCGCAAGGUGUGCACUGUUUUGUCGAGCCUUCUUCUCGUAGUUGCGUGGUGCACUUAAUUGGGUGCCAUGUGAAUAUGGGACCUUUACUUUGAAAAAAUUAGAGUGUUCAAAGCAGGCCUUGGCUUGAAUACAUUAGCAUGGAAUAAUAGAAUAGGACUUUGGUUCUAUUUUGUUGGUUUCUAGGACUGAAGUAAUGAUUAAUAGGGACAGUUGGGGGCAUUAGUAUUUAAUUGUCAGAGGUGAAAUUCUUGGAUUUAUGAAAGACUAACUACUGCGAAAGCAUUUGCCAAGGAUGUUUUCAUUAAUCAAGAACGAA
rnacentral:rRNA from 1 species